rnacentral:lncRNA from 1 species
AAUACUAUCUACUACUAGACUACUAAUUCCCAAAUCGGCAAAUCCCUAGCAGCCGUCGCUCCCAAUUCCCAAAUCGGCAAAUCCCAAUCCCAGAUCUCACUUCAUCUCCGGCCAUCUACGACAGCUCGGCAAAUUGCCCUAGCAGCUCGGCUUCUGUCAUCUCCGACAGCUCGCCUCUCUCCGCCUCUCUCGACCGUGAUUCUGAAUUUCUGAUGCAGCUUCAGUCUGAAUCGGGAACUACUCCUAACACCGUCACGGCGUCACUGCUCCUGUUAGGCUGUUACUUCGGAACUCUAAGCUCAGCACCUACUACUACCUCGAAUUGAUGUCAAUAUCACCGUCAACUUUCCAGCUUGAAAAGAACGGUGAAGGUGGGUCAUAAUCGAUUCGGGGACGGCCGUGACCCAUUUACAAACGGGAGCAUACUAACGGAGAGUUGAGGUCCCAACGGUGUCGUUUCACUUUUCCAACGGAAAGGAGUGGUCUUUAGUCUUUACUGGCUAAGUCUUACAUGCUAGAGGUUGAUAUGAGCUAGAGGUUACCUCUGAUCAUAUGAGCUAGAGGUUAAUAACAGCACCUUUUACGAUUUUGUGCUACGAUUUUGUUGGCUUGUUUUAAGUUAUUUUGCUGUUGCAUAGUUACUUUGUUGGAUUUAUUUGUUGGGCAGUUAUGAGUUAACAGUUAAUUUAUGUUGAAAGCUUGUUCGGUUUUUACCCGAAUACCCGAAAUUACUAUUCGGUAAUUCGGUAUUCGGUAAUUCGGUUAUUUUCAAAUUUCGGUUAGUGGUUCGGAUAGCAGAAAUACUAAUAAUUCGGUUUUCGGUUAUAACCGAAUAGUUUAUUCGGUUCGGUUAUAACCGAAUGAUCACCCCUAGCAGCAUAGGGAUUGGAGGAGUUGGAAAAAGUUUGAUACGUAUACUGCUAAGUGGAAAGAGAGACAUCAUCACUUGAUUGGUGAUCCGACCAUGCCUCCCAUGAAUCAUCUGAAUGAGCUAGAUGACGAGGAGCUUGAUCAUAACAUCCAUUCCAAUGGUUCUCCCUUCUCCCCUCUAGUGGAUGAUCAUAGUUUAGCUCAGAAUGAUGGUCAUUCUCCUCCCUUGACUUGCUCGCAAACUGAUCCGACCAUGACUUCUCUGUUAUCUACUGGUGGUCCAAUUUUUACACCAGUAACUACCGUUGAACGACGACCACCAGUAUUGGCCGAUACACAAGAUGAGUUUU